rnacentral:lncRNA from 1 species
CAUAAAAAUAUUGAUUUUUAUCAAUUUCACGAACAAGAUCCAAGAAUAAGAUUAGUUGAUGGAGGGGGAGGGGUAGAUCUGGGGAUCAACCAGUAGCGAGAGAAGGGAUCGCUAGCAUUACUAGAAACUUAUAUUGCCCACACCUUGUUUUAAACAAUGUCUUCAACAAAUCAAACUCCUUCACCUUAAGUUGGUCAGAUGUCAAAUCAAUCUUCGAAAAC